CCUAGGGGAGGCAGCAGUGGGGAAUAUUGGACAAUGGGCGAAAGCCUGAUCCAGCCAUGCCGCGUGUGUGAAGAAGGCCUUCGGGUUGUAAAGCACUUUCAGUGGGGAAGAAAGCCUUGGGGCUAAUACCCUCGAGGAAGGACAUCACCCACACAAGAAGCACCGGCUAACUCCGUGCCAGCAGCCGCGGUAAUACGGAGGGUGCGAGCGUUAAUCGGAAUUACUGGGCGUAAAGCGCGCGUAGGCGGUCUGAUAAGCCGGUUGUGAAAGCCCCGGGCUCAACCUGGGAACGGCAUCCGGAACUGUCAGGCUAGAGUGCAGGAGAGGAAGGUAGAAUUCCCGGUGUAGCGGUGAAAUGCGUAGAGAUCGGGAGGAAUACCAGUGGCGAAGGCGGCCUUCUGGACUGACACUGACGCUGAGGUGCGAAAGCGUGGGUAGCAAACAGGAUUAGAUACCCGAGUAGUC
rnacentral:rRNA from 1 species